CAGUUCGGAUUGAAGGCUGAAAUUCGCCUUCAUGAAGCCGGAAUUGCUAGUAAUGGCAGGUCAGCAUACUGCCGUGAAUACGUUCCCGGGCCUUGUACACACCGCCCGUCACACCAUGAGAGUUGGGAAUACCCGAAGCCUGUGAGCUAACAGCUUGCUGAGGCAGCAGUCGAAGGUAGAAUCAAUGAUUGGGGUGAAGUCGUAACAAGGUAGC
rnacentral:rRNA from 1 species